AGAUCCUUUGUGUAUAUAUUAUGGUUUCCAGUUUGGUGUUUUUAUAGGACUCCUGAGUGUGUGACAAAGGAAAAUGUAGCAUGCCCACUGGCAGCCCAACCACCUGGACAAAGCGUGAGGAGUCUACAGCUGACACUGAGGGGAACACCAGAAUUCAGUGGCAGAUGAGGACGUGCCAAAGACAUCAAAACAACCACACUGGUAGCAUUGUCUGAACCAAGGAACAACUGUAGGUUCAUAUACUUCGAAAGCCAGGAGAUAAGACGGCGAUGAGGGACCUAAUGGCCAUAACCUUGGAGCCCAGAAGAUACCACAUCUGAAGACUCUCGAACCGUGCCCUCUGCCUAUAUACAAGGAAAUGGCAACAUCGCAGUGCAAGAGGGGACAGGAUGGAAGGAACGGUCACAGCUAUCUGUAAAAUGUCUACGACGUCACCACUCUGGCCACUGUGAGACCUGAGGUGACAGAUGAUGAGAGUCAGCUGAGCCGGAAUG